GGUUAAGCGACUAAGCGUACACGGUGGAUGCCCUGGCAGUCAGAGGCGAUGAAGGACGUGCUAAUCUGCGAAAAGCGUCGGUAAGGUGAUAUGAACCGUUAUAGCCGGCGAUGUCCGAAUGGGGAAACCCAGUGCAAUUCGUUGCACUAUCGUUAACUGAAUACAUAGGUUAACGAGGCGAACCGGGGGAACUGAAACAUCUAAGUACCCCGAGGAAAAGAAAUCAACCGAGAUUCCCCCAGUAGCGGCGAGCGAACGGGGAGCAGCCCAGAGUCUGAAUCAGCUUGUGUGUUAGUGGAACGGUCUGGAAAGUCCGACGGUACAGGGUGAUAGUCCCGUACACCAAAAUGCACAGGCUGUGAACUCGAAGAGUAGGGCGGGACACGUGGUAUCCUGUCUGAAUAUGGGGGGACCAUCCUCCAAGGCUAAAUACUCCUGACUGACCGAUAGUGAACCAGUACCGUGAGGGAAAGGCGAAAAGAACCCCGGCGAGGGGAGUGAAAAAGAACCUGAAACCGUGUACGUACAAGCAGUGGGAGCACCUUUAUGGUGUGACUGCGUACCUUUUGUAUAAUGGGUCAGCGACUUAUAUUCUGUAGCAAGGUUAACCGUAUAGGGGAGCCGCAGGGAAACCGAGUCUUAACUGGGCGUUAAGUUGCAGGGUAUAGACCCGAAACCCGGUGAUCUAGCCAUGGGCAGGUUGAAGGUUGGGUAACACUAACUGGAGGACCGAACCGACUAAUGUUGAAAAAUUAGCGGAUGACUUGUGGCUGGGGGUGAAAGGCCAAUCAAACCGGGAGAUAGCUGGUUCUCCCCGAAAGCUAUUUAGGUAGCGCCUCGUGAACUCAUCUUCGGGGGUAGAGCACUGUUUCGGCUAGGGGGUCAUCCCGACUUACCAACCCGAUGCAAACUACGAAUACCGAAGAAUGUUAUCACGGGAGACACACGGCGGGUGCUAACGUCCGUCGUGAAGAGGGAAACAACCCAGACCGCCAGCUAAGGUCCCAAAGUCAUGGUUAAGUGGGAAACGAUGUGGGAAGGCACAGACAGCCAGGAUGUUGGCUUAGAAGCAGCCAUCAUUUAAAGAAAGCGUAAUAGCUCACUGGUCGAGUCGGCCUGCGCGGAAGAUGUAACGGGGCUAAACCAUGCACCGAAGCUGCGGCAGCGACGCUUAUGCGUUGUUGGGUAGGGGAGCGUUCUGUAAGCCUGCGAAGGUGGCCUGUGAGGGUUGCUGGAGGUAUCAGAAGUGCGAAUGCUGACAUAAGUAACGAUAAAGCGGGUGAAAAGCCCGCUCGCCGGAAGACCAAGGGUUCCUGUCCAACGUUAAUCGGGGCAGGGUGAGUCGACCCCUAAGGCGAGGCCGAAAGGCGUAGUCGAUGGGAAACAGGUUAAUAUUCCUGUACUUGGUGUUACUGCGAAGGGGGGACGGAGAAGGCUAUGUUAGCCGGGCGACGGUUGUCCCGGUUUAAGCAUGUAGGCUGGUUAUCCAGGCAAAUCCGGAUAAUCAAGGCUGAGGUGUGAUGACGAGGCACUACGGUGCUGAAGUAACAAAUGCCCUGCUUCCAGGAAAAGCCUCUAAGCAUCAGGUAACAUCAAAUCGUACCCCAAACCGACACAGGUGGUCAGGUAGAGAAUACCAAGGCGCUUGAGAGAACUCGGGUGAAGGAACUAGGCAAAAUGGUGCCGUAACUUCGGGAGAAGGCACGCUGGUGUGUAGGUGAAGUCCCUGCGGAUGGAGCUGAGACCAGUCGAAGAUACCAGCUGGCUGCAACUGUUUAUUAAAAACACAGCACUGUGCAAACACGAAAGUGGACGUAUACGGUGUGACGCCUGCCCGGUGCCGGAAGGUUAAUUGAUGGGGUUAUCCGUAAGGAGAAGCUCUUGAUCGAAGCCCCGGUAAACGGCGGCCGUAACUAUAACGGUCCUAAGGUAGCGAAAUUCCUUGUCGGGUAAGUUCCGACCUGCACGAAUGGCGUAAUGAUGGCCAGGCUGUCUCCACCCGAGACUCAGUGAAAUUGAACUCGCUGUGAAGAUGCAGUGUACCCGCGGCAAGACGGAAAGACCCCGUGAACCUUUACUAUAGCUUGACACUGAACAUUGAGCCUUGAUGUGUAGGAUAGGUGGGAGGCUUUGAAGCGUGGACGCCAGUCUGCGUGGAGCCAACCUUGAAAUACCACCCUUUAAUGUUUGAUGUUCUAACGUUGGCCCCUAAUCGGGGUUGCGGACAGUGUCUGGUGGGUAGUUUGACUGGGGCGGUCUCCUCCCAAAGCGUAACGGAGGAGCACGAAGGUUAGCUAAUCCUGGUCGGACAUCAGGAGGUUAGUGCAAUGGCAUAAGCUAGCUUGACUGCGAGCGUGACGGCGCGAGCAGGUGCGAAAGCAGGUCAUAGUGAUCCGGUGGUUCUGAAUGGAAGGGCCAUCGCUCAACGGAUAAAAGGUACUCCGGGGAUAACAGGCUGAUACCGCCCAAGAGUUCAUAUCGACGGCGGUGUUUGGCACCUCGAUGUCGGCUCAUCACAUCCUGGGGCUGAAGUAGGUCCCAAGGGUAUGGCUGUUCGCCAUUUAAAGUGGUACGCGAGCUGGGUUUAGAACGUCGUGAGACAGUUCGGUCCCUAUCUGCCGUGGGCGCUGGAGAAUUGAGGGGGGCUGCUCCUAGUACGAGAGGACCGGAGUGGACGCAUCACUGGUGUUCGGGUUGUCAUGCCAAUGGCACUGCCCGGUAGCUAAAUGCGGAAGAGAUAAGUGCUGAAAGCAUCUAAGCACGAAACUUGCCCCGAGAUGAGUUCUCCCUGAGACUUUAAGUCUCCUGAAGGAACGUUGAAGACGACGACGUUGAUAGGCCGGGUGUGUAAGCGCAGCGAUGCGUUGAGCUAACCGGUACUAAUGAACCGUGAGGCUUAACCUU
rnacentral:rRNA from 1 species